rnacentral:lncRNA from 1 species
CCCGACUUUGAUCAAUUCACCAAACCAUGAAUUUCUGGAAAACACGAGGUCAGAAAUUAAGUCUUACACAAAAUUAUAGCAAACAAAUUCACAUAUACGAACAGAAGUAUAUGUCGAAAAGUACUUGAUACUAAAAAACGAACAUAAGUAAAAUGGGAUAAUUGCAGAAUCCUAAGGAAGAUCCGAUAUAAGGGUACCUUUAUGAGGAUCACAACAUAGGUUCACAAUUAGCCGAAGAAGAGAUGUUGAGAGACUCUCAAUCGUCAGUCGGAAGAAUGGUGGGAGAGGGAGAUGAACGCAGGUAUGAACGAGAUAUGAACGACGGAUUUUAUGAUAAUUAUUAUUGAUAUGUGAUCGAAUUUAGUUAUUAAUUAUUAAUUAUUAAUCUGUAAUUAAGUUUUAGUUUUAAGGGUGUUUAUGUAAUUUUGCUGAAAAGGUAGGCUUCGUACUUUUUUUUGUUGGGUUCGUACUUAUCCUACGUGGCAUAAUUCUAUUGGUGGGUUACGGUCCGAGAAGUACAACCCUCUCGGACCCUAGACAACCCC